rnacentral:rRNA from 1 species
GACGAACGCUGGCGGCGUGCUUAACACAUGCAAGUCGAGCGAUGAAGCUCCUUCGGGAGUGGAUUAGCGGCGGACGGGUGAGUAACACGUGGGUAACCUGCCUCAUAGAGGGGAAUAGCCUUUCGAAAGGAAGAUUAAUACCGCAUAAGAUUGUAGCUUCGCAUGGAGCAGCAAUUAAAGGAGUAAUCCGCUAUGAGAUGGACCCGCGUCGCAUUAGCUAGUUGGUGAGGUAACGGCUCACCAAGGCGACGAUGCGUAGCCGACCUGAGAGGGUGAUCGGCCACAUUGGGACUGAGACACGGCCCAGACUCCUACGGGAGGCAGCAGUGGGGAAUAUUGCACAAUGGGGGAAACCCUGAUGCAGCAACGCCGCGUGAGUGAUGACGGUCUUCGGAUUGUAAAACUCUGUCUUCAGGGACGAUAAUGACGGUACCUGAGGAGGAAGCCACGGCUAACUACGUGCCAGCCGCCGCUGUAACAC